rnacentral:rRNA from 1 species
UACGUAGGGAGCAAGCGUUGUCCGGAAUCAUUGGGCGUAAAGCGCGCGUAGGCGGCCUCGUAAGUCCGCUGUAAAAGUCACAGGCUCAACCUGUGAACGCCGGUGGAUACUGUGAGGCUAGAGUCCGGAAGAGGCGAGUGGAACUCCUGGUGUAGCGGUGGAAUGCGCAGAUAUCAGGAAGAACACCAACGGCGAAGGCAGCUCGCUGGGACGGUACUGACGCUGAGGUGCGAAAGCGUGGGGAGCAAACAGG